GCUACUGUAGCUCAGGGGUAGAGCACUUCAUUGGUAAUGAAGAGGUCACGAGUUCAAAUCUCGUCAGUAGCUCCA
rnacentral:tRNA from 2 species